CUAUUUCCACAUCUAUGUAAAUUCUGAUUCAGCCAAAGGCACUACAUUGGUGGGAUUUGCUGGCAAAUAACACGUUCUUAUCAUAAACUCGGAAAAGAUAGCUAUGAUAAAUGAUGACAUCAUCAGCAUACAGUGAUAGGAAAUAUAGUCUCGUUUGCUAUGCUACACUGAUUUUUGUAUGCAUACUUCACUUUUUCGUGUUGUGUUUUUUCAGAGCUCUGUUCAUCAACCUGUUAGGCCUAGUUUGCACCCUGACAUCGUCAGUGAUUUCAGGGCUGUGCCUUUAUUCGUUCUAUAAGAAUUGUGACCCAUGGAAAGCUGGACAAGUUUCAUCACCUGAUCAGCUGUUGCCUUAUUUGGUGAUGGAUAUCUUGGCAGAUCACCAAGGUCUUCCAGGACUAUUUUUAGCUGCAGUAUAUAGUGCCUCUCUGAGCACAGUUUCUACUUCAAUCAACGCAAUGGCUGCAGUGACCAUGGAGGACCUGAUCAAACCACGCAUUGAACUGUCUGAGAAAAAGCUUCUCUUAAUCUCCAAAGGGCUGAGUAAAUAAUAAGUUAUCUGUUGUUUGUUUAUAAUAUACAGUGGGGCAAAAGAGUAUUUAGUCAGCCACCAAUUGUGCAAGAGAGGCUUGUAAUUUUCAUCAUAGGUAUAUCUCAACUAUGAGAGACAAAAUG